rnacentral:rRNA from 1 species
CCGGUAGGGGAUGGGCAUGCGGCGCAUUAGCUAGUUGGCGGGGCAACGGCCCACCAAGGCGACGAUGCGUAGGGGUUCUGAGAGGAAGGUCCCCCACACUGGUACUGAGACACGGACCAGACUCCUACGGGAGGCAGCAGUGAGGAAUAUUGGUCAAUGGGCGCAGGCCUGAACCAGCCAAGUCGCGUGAGGGAUGACGGUCCUACGGAUUGUAAACCUCUUUUGUCGGGGAGUAACGUGCGGGACGUGUCCCGUAUUGAGAGUACCCGAAGAAAAAGCAUCGGCUAACUCCGUGCCAGCAGCCGCGGUAAUACGGAGGAUGCGAGCGUUAUCCGGAUUUAUUGGGUUUAAAGGGUGCGCAGGCGGCGCGCCAAGUCAGCGGUCAAAGUUCCGGGCUCAACCCGGUGUCGCCGUUGAAACUGGCGUGCUCGAGUGCGUGCGAGGAAGGCGGAAUGCGUUGUGUAGCGGUGAAAUGCAUAGAUAUGACGCAGAACUCCGAUUGCGAAGGCAGCUUUCCAGCGCGCUACUGACGCUGAGGCACGAAAGCGUGGGGAUCGAACAGGAUUAGAUACCCUGGUAGUCCACGCAGUAAACGAUGACUACUAGCUUUCCGGGAUGAUUGAGUCCUGGGAGGCACAGCGAAAGCGUUAAGUAGUCCACCUGGGGAGUACGCCGGCAACGGUGAAACUCAAAGGAAUUGACGGGGGCCCGCACAAGCGGAGGAACAUGUGGUUUAAUUCGAUGAUACGCGAGGAACCUUACCCGGGCUCAAACGACAGUGGACAGCUCCUGAAAGGGAGUCUCCGGCAACGGCCGCUGUCGAGGUGCUGCAUGGUUGUCGUCAGCUCGUGCCGUGAGGUGUCGGCUUAAGUGCCAUAACGAGCGCAACCCCCAUCUCCAGUUGCCACCGGGUCGUGCCGGGCACUCUGGAGGGACUGCCAGCGCAAGCUGCGAGGAAGGCGGGGAUGACGUCAAAUCAGCACGGCCCUUACGUCCGGGGCGACACACGUGUUACAAUGGCGGAGAACAGAGGGGAGCCACGUGGCGACACGGAGCCGAUCCCUAAAAUCCGUCUCAGUUCGGAUUGGAGUCUGCAACCCGACUCCAUGAAGCUGGAUUCGCUAGUAAUCGCGCAUCAGCCAUGGCGCGGUGAAUACGUUCCCGGGCCUUGCACACACCGCCCGUCAAG